GAUGAACGCUGGCGGCGUGCCUAAUACAUGCAAGUCGAACGGAAGGACGCGACGCUUGGGUCUCUCAUGUUGGCGACGGGCGGGUGAGUCACGCGUGGAUAACCUUCCUCUACGGCUUAGAUCACUUCAACUGACCCUAGCUCAUACCAGAUAAUAUUUUGAACCGGAUGGUUCGAAAGUGAAAUCCGGUCUUGCUGUCCCUUCUGGCUGGCUCCGCGCUGCAUUAGCUAGUUCGUAAGGUAACGGCUUACGAAGGCCACGAUGGAUAGCCGAACUGAGAGGGGGAUCGGCGACUGUGGAGGUGGGCCACGGCCCAGACUCUUACGGGAGGCAGCGGCACCGAAGCUUCCGCAAUGGGCGAAAGCCUGACCGAGCAACGCCGCGUGAGUGAUGAGGGUCUGCGGAUCGGAAAACGCUGUUAGUGGGGAAGAACAUAUGUGUAAGGAACGGUGCUCAUCGUGACGGUACCUAGACAGAAAGCCCCGGCUAACUACGUG
rnacentral:rRNA from 1 species